rnacentral:rRNA from 1 species
UACGUAGUGGGCGAGCGUUGUCCGGAUUUAUUGGGCGUAAAGAGCGUGUAGGCGGCCAGGUAGGUCUGCUGUGAAAACUCGAGGCUCAACCUCGAGACGUCGGCGGAAACCAUCUGGCUAGAGUCCGGAAGAGGAGAGUGGAAUUCCUGGUGUAGCGGUGAAAUGCGCAGAUAUCAGGAAGAACACCCGUGGCGAAGGCGGCUCUCUGGGACGGUACUGACGCUGAGACGCGAAAGCGUGGGGAGCGAACAGG